GACGAACGCUGGCGGCGCGCUUAACACAUGCAAGUCGAACGGAAAGGCCUGCUUUCCCUUGUGGAUUGCGGGUACUCGAGUGGCGAACGGGUGAGUAACACGUGAGUGAUCUGCCCCCAACUUGGGUAUAAGCCUGGGAAACUGGGUCUAAUUCCCGAUAGGACUGCAGGGUGGUGCCUGUGGUGGAAAACGAUUUUCUAGUGGUUGGGGAUGAGCUCGCGGCCUAUCAGCUUGUUGGUGGGGUAAUGGCCUACCAAGGCGGCGACGGGUAGCCGGCCUGAGAGGGUGGACGGCCACAUUGGGACUGAGAUACGGCCCAGACUCCUACAGGAGGCAGCAGUGGGGAAUAUUACACAAUGGGCGGAAGCCUGAUGCAGCGACGCCGCGUGGGGGAUGACGGCCUUCGGGUUGUAAACUCCUUUCGACCGCGAGGAAGCCACCUGGUUGGAAGGGUGGUGACGGUAGUGGUAGAAGAAGCACCGGCUAACUACGUG
rnacentral:rRNA from 1 species